UAGAGUGGCGCACGGGUGAGUAACGCGUGGGUAAUCUACCUUCGAACCGGGGAUAACACUUCGAAAGGGGUGCUAAUACCGGAUGACGUCCACGAGGCUUUGGCUUUGUGGACCAAAGAUGGCCUCUCCAUGGAAGCUGUUGUUCGGAGAUGAGCCCGCGUCCCAUUAGCUUGUUGGUGGGGUAAAGGCCCACCAAGGCGAUGAUGGGUAGCUGGUCUGAGAGGAUGAUCAGCCACACUGGCACUGACACACGGGCCAGACUCCUACGGGAGGCAGCAGUGAGGAAUUUUGCGCAAUGGGGGAAACCCUGACGCAGCAACGCCGCGUGAGUGAAGAAGGCCUUCGGGUCGUAAAGCUCUGUCGAGUGGGAAGAAUCCGCAUCAGGUGACAAGUCUGAUGCGCUGACGGUACCACUGGAGGAAGCACCGGCUAACUCCGUGCCAGCAGCCGCGGUAAUACGGAGGGUGCAAGCGUUAUUCGGAAUUACUGGGCGUAAAGGGCGCGCAGGCGGCUGGAUAAGUCAGUAGUGAAAGCCCAGGGCUCAACCCUGGAAGUGCUGCUGAAACUGUUUAGCUUGAGUAUGGUAGAGGGAAGUGGAAUUCCUGGUGUAGCGGUGAAAUGCGUAGAUAUCAGGAGGAACACCGGUGGCGAAGGCGGCUUCUUGGACCAAUACUGACGUUGAGGCGCGAAGGCGUGGGUAGCAAACAGGAUUAGAUACCCUGGUAGUUCACGCAGUAAACGGUGAUCACUAGAUGUUGCGGGUAUUGAUACGUGCAGUGCGGGAGUUAACGCAUUAAGUGAUCAUCAUGGGGAGUACGGAGGCAAGGUUAAUACUCAAAGGAAUUGAUGGGGGCCCGCACAAGCGAUGGAGCAUGUGGUUUAUUUCGACGCAACAGGAAGAACCUUACGUGGGUUUGACAUCUGGGGAAUGUCUGUGAAAGCAGGCAGUGCCUUUUGGGGAGACCCAAGACAGAUGCUGUAUGGCGGUCGUCAGCUAGAUGUCGUGAGAUGUUGGGUUAAGUCCCGCAACGAGCGCAACCCCUGUCUUCAGUUACCAGCAAUUCGGUUGGGGACUCUGAAGAUACUGCCCCGGUUAACGGAGAGGAAGGUGGGGAUGACGUCAAGUCCUCAUGGCCUUUAUACC
rnacentral:rRNA from 1 species